rnacentral:rRNA from 1 species
CAGUCGCCGCGGUAAUACGUAGGGUGCAAGCGUUAAUCGGAAUUACUGGGCGUAAAGCGUGCGCAGGCGGUUAUAUAAGACAGAUGUGAAAUCCCCGGGCUCAACCUGGGAACUGCAUUUGUGACUGUAUAGCUAGAGUACGGCAGAGGGGGAUGGAAUUCCGCGUGUAGCAGUGAAAUGCGUAGAUAUGCGGAGGAACACCGAUGGCGAAGGCAAUCCCCUGGGCCUGUACUGACGAUCAUGCACGAAAGCGUGGGGAGCAAACAGGAUUAGAUACCCGCGUAGUCCCUGUCUCUUAUAC